GCCGCGCCGGCGGGACUCGGGGCCUCGCUGCGCACCGCGUGUACGUCAGCUCCCCGACCGACGCGCGGGGACCGGGGGCCCAGCUGUCGCCCCGGAGGCGAAAGGAGAGGGGAGGACGGCGAGUGCGCCGCCAUGGCCGGCCGAGCAGCUAACGGAUGUGGCUCCAUAAUUUCCCACAGUACCUUUCCGUGAUGUCCGUGUAGAACAAAGCGCUGUCUUGCCUGUCUGACUCUCCACGACACUUCGCGACUGUGAAGUCUACGCUGAUCGUAUUUGAGUCCGUCUUGCUCACUUUUCCAACCCUACGUCUACAGAGGACUAGACAGUCCACAUUCCAUAAACACUUGUUGAACAAAUAAUACCCAGUAUGACUCUCGGUUAUUAUUUUAGAAUGUUAUGAUUUGUUUUACAUUUAAUAAUAUUUACCAUUUGUGGAACUGAAGGUUGGGGGAUGAAGUACUUUUCAGCCUUUGCAAAUCUGUAUUAUAUAAAAAUCUCCUGUAAGGAAAUAAACGUUUU
rnacentral:lncRNA from 1 species